rnacentral:rRNA from 1 species
UCAGUCGACUCCUACGGGGAGGCAGCAGUGGGGAAUAUUGCACAAUGGGGGAAACCCUGAUGCAGCCAUGCCGCGUGUGUGAAGAAGGCCUUCGGGUUGUAAAGCACUUUCAGUAGGGAGGAAGGUAGUGUAGUUAACACCUGCAUUAUUUGACGUUACCUACAGAAGAAGCACCGGCUAACUCCGUGCCAGCAGCCGCGGUAAUACGGAGGGUGCGAGCGUUAAUCGGAAAUUACUGGGCGUAAAGCGCAUGCAGGCGGCCUGUUAAGUCAGAUGUGAAAGCCCGGGGCUUAACCUCGGAAUUGCAUUUGAAACUGGCAGGCUAGAGUCUUGUAGAGGGGGGUAGGAAUUUCAGGUGUAGCGGUGAAAUGCGUAGAGAUCUGAAGGAAUACCAGUGGCGAAGGCGGCCCCCUGGACAAAGACUGACGCUCAGAUGCGAAAGCGUGGGGAGCAAACAGGAUUAGAUACCCUGGUAG